CUUUAUGGAUGAGCAAAGGAAGUAGCUUCUUGAGAUGGAACCUACUGCUGGUGGAGAUGUUGUGAA
rnacentral:pre_miRNA from 1 species